AUGAACGCUGGCGGCGUGCCUAAUACCUGCAAGUCGAGCGAACAGACGAGGAGCUUGCUCCUUUGACGUUAGCGGCGGACGGGUGAGUAACACGUGGAUAACCUACCUAUAAGACUGGGAUAACUUCGGGAAACCGGAGCUAAUACCGGAUAACAUGUUGAACCGCAUGGUUCAACAGUGAAAGACGGUCUUGCUGUCACUUAUAGAUGGAUCCGCGCCGCAUUAGCUAGUUGGUAAGGUAACGGCUUACCAAGGCAACGAUGCGUAGCCGACCUGAGAGGGUGAUCGGCCACACUGGAACUGAGACACGGUCCAGACUCCUACGGGAGGCAGCAGUAGGGAAUCUUCCGCAAUGGGCGAAAGCCUGACGGAGCAACGCCGCGUGAGUGAAGAAGGUCUUCGGAUCGUAAAACUCUGUUAUUAGGGAAGAACAAAUGUGUAAGUAACUAUGCACGUCUUGACGGUACCUAAUCAGAAAGCCACGGCUAACUACGUG
rnacentral:rRNA from 1 species